rnacentral:tRNA from 1 species
GUCUUAAUAGUUAAAAAAUAACACUGUCUUUUCGUGACAGAGGUGGCCUCCAGGCCUUUAGAUU